UACGUAGGGUGCAAGCGUUGUCCGGAAUUAUUGGGCGUAAAGAGCUUGUAGGCGGUUUGUCGCGUCUGCUGUGAAAUUUCGGGGCUCAACCCCGAACUUGCAGUGGGUACGGGCAGACUAGAGUGUGGUAGGGGAGACUGGAAUUCCUGGUGUAGCGGUGAAAUGCGCAGAUAUCGGGAGGAACACCGGUGGCGAAGGCGGCGAUCUGGGUGGAAACUGACGCUGAGGCGCGAAAGUGUGGGGAGGCAAACAGG
rnacentral:rRNA from 1 species